AUGAACGCUAGCGGGAGGCCUAACACAUGCAAGCCGAGCGGUAGAGAUCUUUCGGGAUCUUGAGAGCGGCGUACGGGUGCGGAACACGUGUGCAACCUGCCUUUAUCUGGGAGAUAGCCUUUCGAAAGGAAGAUUAAUACCCCAUAAUAUAUGAUUCGGCUUCGGAUUCUAUUGAAAGCUCCGGCGGAUAGAGAUGGGCACGCGCAAGAUUAGAUAGUUGGUGAGGUAACGGCUCACCAAGUCAGUGAUCUUUAGGGGGCCUGAGAGGGUGAUCCCCCACACUGGUAAUGAGACACGGACCAGACUCCUACGGGAGGCAGCAGUGAGGAAUAUUGGACAAUGGGUGAAAGCCUGAUCCAGCCAUCCCGCGUGAAGGACGACGGCCCUAUGGGUUGUAAACUUCUUUUGUAUAGGGAUAAACCUACCCUCGUGAGGGUAGCUGAAGGUACUAUACGAAUAAGCACCGGCUAACUCCGUGCCAGCCGCCGCCGUAA
rnacentral:rRNA from 1 species